rnacentral:rRNA from 1 species
GAUGAACGCUAGCGGCAGGCUUAAUACAUGCAAGUCGAGGGGCAGCAGGACUGUAGCAAUACAGUUGCUGGCGACCGGCAAACGGGUGCGGAACACGUACGCAACCUACCCAAAACUGGGGGAUAGCCCGGGGAAACCCGGAUUAAUACCUCGUAACCUUUUUAAGUGGCAUCACUUGAUAAGUAUAGCUCCGGCGGUUUUGGAUGGGCGUGCGCCUGAUUAGGUAGUUGGUGCGGGUAACGGCCCACCAAGCCUGCGAUCAGUAACUGGUGUGAGAGCACGACCAGUCACACGGGCACUGAGACACGGGCCCGACUCCUACGGGAGGCAGCAGUAAGGAAUAUUGGUCAAUGGACGCAAGUCUGAACCAGCCAUGCCGCGUGAAGGAGGAAGGUCCUCUGGAUUGUAAACUUCUUUUAUGGGGGACGAAACCCGGAUAUUCUUAUCCGAUUGACGGUACCUCAGGAAUAAGCACCGGCUAACUCCGUG